CACGAAGGGGGCUAGCGUUGUUCGGAAUUACUGGGCGUAAAGCGCACGUAGGCGGAUAUUUAAGUCAGGGGUGAAAUCCCAGAGCUCAACUCUGGAACUGCCUUUGAUACUGGGUAUCUCGAGUAUGGAAGAGGUGAGUGGAAUUCCGAGUGUAGAGGUGAAAUUCGUAGAUAUUCGGAGGAACACCAGUGGCGAAGGCGGCUCACUGGUCCAUUACUGACGCUGAGGUGCGAAAGCGUGGGGAGCAAACAGG
rnacentral:rRNA from 1 species